rnacentral:rRNA from 1 species
GAUGAACGCUAGCUACAGGCUUAACACAUGCAAGUCGAGGGGCAGCAUGGUCUUAGCUUGCUAAGGCCGAUGGCGACCGGCGCACGGGUGAGUAACGCGUAUCCAACCUGCCUUACACUCUUGGACAGCCUUCUGAAAGGGAGAUUAAUACAAGAUGUUAUCAUGAGUAAGCAUUUUCGCAUGAUUAAAGGUUUACCGGUGUAAGAUGGGGAUGCGUUCCAUUAGAUAGUAGGCGGGGUAACGGCCCACCUAGUCUUCGAUGGAUAGGGGUUCUGAGAGGAAGGUCCCCCACAUUGGAACUGAGACACGGUCCAA